AUAAAGUAAAUCUCGUAAUUAUACAAGUAGGACUGGACUACUGAACUCAACAGAGGAAGGAAGAAUGGGAGAUUAACCCCUGGAGCUCAUUCAAAUUAAGGUCCCAAUUCUGCAACCAAAUUCCCUACUGCUAAUAGGAUUUCUGCUUGCGCUUCUGUUGGCAAAUGGGGAUUUAGUUAUACGCUUCUGUUAGAACAAAACAGAAUUUGACAGUGCAAAUUUUUCCUUAUGCUAGAAACCUAAAAAUGUGUGCCAAAUAUGCAAGAUAAAAGAAUAUAACAGAACUGACACAGUAUAAAAAUAGUUUACAGUAAGCAUACAUUUUUAUAACUACAUAUUUUUCCAGUUGAUCCCCGCCAGUCCGUCUUUCUUCAAAUAAUCGUCAUUAAUCAAAUACAAAUAUAGGCCCCAUGGGGCUAAUGCAGAUUUAAAGCUAAGCACAUGUGUAACUGUUUGUAGGUCUGGAGUCUUGGUUGUCACAGUUAUAUUGAAAAACAUUCUACAAUAGGUUUUUUCCUUCCACAUCCCCCUCCUUCCACCCAACAAAUCAAAUUACAGAGGGAGAGAUCUAAUAAUUUUGAAAAAUGUUUUCAUAAAUGAAACACAGUCUUACCCCACCAAAAAAAAAAAAAAAAAAAAAAAAGAAAAAAAGAAAAAACCCACAAACAAACAAAAAAACCCUAGGAAAAAAAAUCUAUCUUUUCCAUUGUCAGUAAUGCCUACAAUAAAGUCUUGCUGUAAAUCUUGCAGGUGGAUAGCAGCUUCAGUCACACGCAAUGCAGCAAUGGUUGCAGAGAAAACAAGUUCACAAAGCAUCAGCUCACACAAGUCAGAGGAGGCAGGGGCAAAGAUCCAGGGGGAUCCUCACCACCAAGAAGACUAGAUGGAGAGGCUCACCGAUUAUCAGGAUGCUGGUGGGGUCCACGGAGUGGUGAUAUUUUCUUUGAUCUGUCCCCCCCAUCUCUUUUCUCUUUCUUUCUCUUUCUCUGUCUGUCUCUCUCACAUUUACUGUUAAAUAAAAUCCAUACUAUUGACUUUGACAUAUGGUCUUAUUUGCACCUUAAUUCAGGCAGAGGCAUUUCUAAUAAUUUUAAGAACUGGACCAAAACAAAGGAGCAUCAUGUUUUCAUCUGUGCUGGCAACAGCAGAAGGAUCAUAGAUAUCACUAAACUCCCCUGUGCUUGCACCACUUAUUUAAUGGAAUUUUUACCAGGGAGUGUUCACUGGAAUUUCAGAGGAAAUAUAGAUUAUCCUCUAAACCUCUAUAUCUGUAAGACAGGGAAUUUUUAUUCCUUCUCUCUCCUUACCUUCAUGCCAUGGCCUCUCCUGCUUUUGCAGUCCUGCUAGUGUUGGCUCUUCCUUUAGCAUUUCCACCAUGUCUCUUUUCUGCAGAGAAGAACUCUGCACCAGGGGGUUGGUUUUAGGUAGUGGCAAAGGGGAUAUAAGGUCCUGGAACUUCAGAGCUUAACUAAAGCUUGUUCAAGCCAAUCAGUAAUUUUGGCCAUGUGGUUUUAGAAGGUUUUUUUAAAUAAAAAUUAUUGUGCAACAGG
rnacentral:lncRNA from 13 species